GAUGAGCCUGGCCUUGGCACUGCACAUGCCAUCCAUCCCUGGGAAAAACUAAGUGAUGCUCUGCCCUUGGUGACUCCAGCUGUGCAGAAACUUUUAGCUAACGGCAUCUGUGGCUAGAGGACAGAAAGAGGACUCGCAAGCAGAACCGCAGGGGAGCGAACGGCACAACAAUGAAACGAGCCGUUCUCCACAGUCACAUCCCGGAUUGUACAGCAGCGGUGUCCACCCGGCGCAGAGCAGCAGCGGUCCCACG